rnacentral:ncRNA from 1 species
GAUAUGGCAAAGAAGAGGAAAAGUAAGCUGUAAGCUUUUCAGCAGAGAGAAAACCACAGGUGGAAGGUUUUUGUAAAGCGGCGGCCCAACCGGCCUCGGAGCCUUAUGCGAAAGAAAGACAUGCCGUGAAGAGUUGUUUUUAAGUGACUGUGUGGGAAACGGACAGUUACAUUUUGGGCAUAUGCUUUCCCCAAGCAUAACGUAAAUCCGGCGUUAACGGAGCAGUUGAGAGAAUACGCGAAGGCGUAUUAAACAGGGUGGUACCGCCGGUUUUCCGGUCCCUUUG